rnacentral:rRNA from 1 species
ACUCAAAGGAAUAGACGGGGGCCCGCACAAGCGGUGGAUCAUGUGGUUUAAUUCGAAGCAACGCGAAAAACCUUACCUGGGUUUGACAUCUCCGGACCGCCGUAGAGAUACGGUUUCAGUAGCAAUACUGCCGGAUGACAGGUGCUGCAUGGCUGUCGUCAGCUCGUGUGGUGACAUGUUGGGUUAAGUCCCGCAACGAGCGCAACCCUUGUCUUUAGUUGCCAGCAUUAAGUUGGGCUCUCUAAAGAGACUGCCGUGGUUAACACGGAGGAAGGUGGGGAUGACGUCAAGUCCUCAUGGCCUUUAUAUCCAGGGCGACACACGUGAUACAAUGGACGGUACAGAGGGAUGCGAAACCGCGAGGUGGAGCAAAUCUCAAAAAGCCGUUCUCAGUUCGGAUUGGAGUCUGCAACUCGACUCCAUGAAGUUGGAAUCGCUAGUAAUCGCGGAUCAGCACGCCGCGGUGAAUACGUUCCCGGGCCUUGUACACACCGCCCGU